rnacentral:ncRNA from 1 species
GGAAAUCAGCAAACCAGAUGAAAGUCUGGGACGCAAAGCUACAGGGCCUGUAAAAUGGCAGCCAGUUGC